rnacentral:misc_RNA from 1 species
AUAAAAGUUUAUGUAUUUGCUUCAGAUGCUUUACAAGUCCACAUUUUGACUCCCUAGCCCACUAGUUGGGGAUUGUAGAAAAUUCAAAUAAGAAAAAUUAAUUGAGAGAAAACAUGACAUACCUAUUUAGUAUGUCACUGAAGAAUGCUUUUAGGAUGUUUGAAUCUUGCAUACGCUGUUCAUUCAUUGUGUACUCAUUGUAUGUGGCAUUCAUUUCUUUAUUUGGAGUAACAACAUAUUUCUAAUACGUCUAUUUGGAGCGAUGAUAGCUAAGGUUUUGGCUUCUGAUUGUUGCUGACUGCUGCUGGUGUGUAUAAACAGAAUUAAAUCGGGAUGGGGUUGGAGAUUAUCGUUGGGAUUGGCUGGCAUUCCUGCACUUCUCUUGACUUUUGGGGCUCUCCUGGUGUUAGAAACCCCUAACAGCCUCAUUGAGCGAGGCCGCUUGGAAGAAGGAAAAUCAGUUCUCAGAAAGAUUCGUGGCACAGAUAAUAUUGAACCAGAGUUCCUGGAGCUUGUUGAGGCA